UACACGACCGUACCGCAAACCGACACUGGUGCGCGAGAUGAGUAUUCUAAGGCGCUUGAGAGAACUCAGGAGAAGGAACUCGGCAAAUUGACACCGUAACUUCGGAAGAAGGUGUGCCUUUAGUAGGUGAAGGGAUUUACUCCUGGAGCCCAAUGAGGUUGCAAAAAAUCGGUGGCUGCGACUGUUUAUUAAAAACACAGCACUCUGCAAACACGAAAGUGGACGUAUAGGGUGUGACGCCUGCCCGGUGCUGGAAGAUUAAAUGAUGGGGUGCAAGCUCUUGAUUGAAGUCCCAGUAAACGGCGGCCGUAACAAUAACGGUCCUAAGGUAGCGAAAUUCCUUGUCGGGUAAGUUCCGACCUGCACGAAUGGCGUAACGAUGGCCACACUGUCUCCUCCUGAGACUCAGCGAAGUUGAAAUGUUUGUGAUGAUGCAAUCUCCCCGCGGAAAGACGGAAGGACCCCAUGAACCUUUACUGUAGCUUUGUAUUGGACUUUGAACAGAUCUGUGUAGGAUAGGUGGGAUGCUUUGAAGCAGGGUCGCUAGAUCUUGUGGAGCCAACGUUGAAAUACCACCCUGGUGUGUUUGAGGUUCUAACCUAGGCCCGUAAUCCGGGUUGGGGACAGUGCAUGGUAGGCAGUUUGACUGGGGCGGUCUCCUCCCAAAGUGUAACGGAGGAGUUCGAAGGUACGCUAGUUACGGUCGGACAUCGUGGCGAUAGUGCAAUGGCAUAAGCGUGCUUAACUGCGAGACUGACAAGUCGAGCAGAUGCGAAAGCAGGACAUAGUGAUCCGGUGGUUCUGUAUGGAAGGGCCAUCGCUCAACGGAUAAAAGGUACUCUGGGGAUAACAGGCUGAUACCGCCCAAGAGUUCAUAUCGACGGCGGUGUUUGGCACCUCGAUGUCGGCUCAUCUCAUCCUGGGGCUGUAGCCGGUCCCAAGGGUAUGGCUGUUCGCCAUUUAAAGAGGUACGUGAGCUGGGUUUAAAACGUCGUGAGACAGUUUGGUCCCUAUCUUCCGUGGGCGCUGCAGAUUUGAGGAAACCUGCUCCUAGUACGAGAGGACCGGAGUGGACGCACCUCUGGUGUAUCGGUUGUCACGCCAGUGGCAUUGCCGAGUAGCUAUGUGCGGAAGAGAUAACCGCUGAAAGCAUCUAAGCGGGAAACUCGUUUCAAGAUGAGAUCUGCCGGGGCCUUGAGCCCCCUGAAGAGUCGUUCAAGACCAGGACGUUGAUAGGUCGGGUGUGGAAGCGCAGUAAUGCGUUAAGCUAACCGAUACUAAUUGCUCGUGCGGCUUGACCCU
rnacentral:rRNA from 1 species